AGAUUGAAGCAGCUUCAUCUCAUUCCUGGUUCAUCCUGAUUCCCUCAGUGGCUUGCUCCUGCAUUAGUAAUGUAAAACUGGCCCAAAAGGGUUUAAAAUUGUCAGAAGUUGAUCUUGAUCAGUUCAAAUAUUUUUUGACAAAGAAAAUCAGUUCUGGUCAGUUCAAAUCUAUUUUGACCAGUUUAAACCAAUUCUGCAGAACUCGAGCCUGCGGUCGGUAAACCCAGGAAGAUGGCUGAAGACUAUGCUGAUUCAAGCCAAAGCAAGGAAUCAGCUUCUGCUGAUCCUGCUUUUUGGAAUUAAGAAUUCCCAAACAGGUUGCUUCCAAUACGGCUGAAUAGGAACAGCUCCAGUCUACAACUCCCAGUGAGAUCGAUGCAGAAGGAUGGGCCGCAAAGGAGAUUCUUCCAAGAUUUCAGAAGUUGGAAGGGAAGCAGAAUCCAUUUGAUAACACAAACACAUUAUUGCUUAUCUGUUGACUCAACUUGGGAUGAAGAAGCAGUUGAGCCAGUUGUGUGUGUAGAGCUCAAGGACAAAGGUCCUUAGCUUCUGCAGAAUACUAUCAUCACCAAGC
rnacentral:lncRNA from 1 species